rnacentral:rRNA from 1 species
GACGAACGCUGGCGGCGUGCUUAACACAUGCAAGUCGAACGGCAAGGCCCUGCUUUUGUGGGGUGCUCGAGUGGCGAACGGGUGCGUAACACGUGAGUAACCUGCCCUUGACUUUGGUAUAACUUCAGGAAACUGGGGCUAAUACCGGAUAGGAGCUCCUGCUGCAUGGUGGGGGUUGGAAAGUUUCGGCGGUUGGGGAUGGACUCGCGGCUUAUCAGCUUGUUGGUUGGGUAGUGGCUUACCAAGGCUUUGACGGGUAGCCGGCCUGAGAGGGUGACCGGGCACAUGGGGACUGAGAGACGGCCCAGACUCCUACGGGAGGCAGCAGUGGGGAAUAUUGCACAAUGGGAGGAAGCCGGAGGCAGAAACGCCGCGGGCGGGAUGACGGCCUUCGGGUUGUAAACCGCUGUAGCCUGUGACGAAGCGGGAGUGACGGUAAUGGGUAAAGAAGCACCGGCUAACUACGUG